rnacentral:rRNA from 1 species
GAGCGCCCCGCAAGGGGAGCGGCAGACGGGAGAGUAACACGUGGGAACGUACCCUUCAGUUCGGAACAACCCAGGGAAACUUGGGCUGAUACCGGAUACGUCCGUAAGGAGAAAGAUUUAUCGCUGAAGGAUCGGCCCGCGUCUGAUUAGCUAGUUGGUGGGGUAAUGGCCCACCAAGGCGACGAUCAGUAGCUGGUCUGAGAGGAUGAUCAGCCUCACUGGGACUGAGACACGGCCCAGACUCCUACGGGAGGCAGCAGUGGGGAAUAUUGGACAAUGGGCGCAAGCCUGAUCCAGCCAUGCCGCGUGGGUGAUGAAGGCCCUAGGGUUGUAAAGCCCUUUCGGCGGGGAAGAUAAUGACGGUACCCGCAGAAGAAGCCCCGGCUAACUUCGUGCCAGCAGCCGCGGUAAUACGAAGGGGGCUAGCGUUGCUCGGAAUCACUGGGCGUAAAGCGCACGUAGGCGGCUUUUUAAGUCAGAGGUGAAAUCCUGGAGCUCAACUCCAGAACUGCCUUUGAUACUGAGAAGCUUGAGUCCGGGAGAGGUGAGUGGAACUGCGAGUGUAGAGGUGAAAUUCGUAGAUAUUCGCAAGAACACCAGUGGCGAAGGCGGCUCACUGGCCCGGUACUGACGCUGAGGUGCGAAAGCGUGGGGA